CGCCUUGCCAGCCCGCUCAGAAACUUAAAUGAAUUGACGGGGGCCCGCACAAGCGGAGGAGCAUGUGGUUUAAUUCGAUGAUACGCGAGGAACCUUACCUGGGCUCGAACGUAUGUUGACGUAUUCUGAAAGGGAUACUUCUUCGGACAAUAUACAAGGUGCUGCAUGGUUGUCGUCAGCUCGUGCCGUGAGGUGUCGGGUUAAGUCCCAUAACGAGCGCAACCCCUAUCAUUAGUUGCCAUCAGGUCAAGCUGGGGACUCUAAUGAAACUGCCUACGCAAGUAGUGAGGAAGGUGGGGAUGACGUCAAAUCAGCACGGCCCUUACGUCCAGGGCGACACACGUGCUACAAUGGCCGGCACAACGGGAAGCGAGUUCGCGAGGACGAGCGGAUCCCUUAAAGCCGGUCGCAGUUCGGAUUGAAGUCUGCAACUCGACUUCAUGAAGCUGGAAUCGCUAGUAAUCGUGGAUCAGCCAAGCCGCGGUGAAUACGUUCCCGGGCCUU
rnacentral:rRNA from 1 species